rnacentral:lncRNA from 1 species
AAAUCCAUGUUUUCCAUCUUGCUUUCUUUUGUGUCUGGGUGCACUGGCCAAAACUAGACCUUGAGAUUCUGAAGUGGAAACAAAUUAAAAAAAAAAAAAAAAAACCAAAACCACCUUUAUUUCAAAGUUGUGAGGUGCCUCCUAAGAGUACAGACUUUGCCUGACACCUCCUUUGUUCUGGGAAUACUAUCUGUAUAAGGAGUUGAAUUUCACAGUUGUCUGGGGUAAGUUCCCUCCUCUCCUCCUGAGGGAGAUUUGUUGUUGAGAUGUAGCCCCGAGCAUCCCUAAGAUGCUUCAGACUGGAAAGUUGCACAGAGUGUGACAGCAGAAACCAGGUGUGUCAGCGAGCAGAGUUCUGUUCUUGGUCAUGUUGCUUCUUUGGAAGAAAUGUGUUUUGUUUUUGUUGUUUGCUAUAAUUUGCACAUUUGAAAGGAAGCAUCACUUCUCAGACCUGGAUCAGAAUUGAGGUAUUGAGGACUCAGUGUACUUUUCUUCAAGAAGGCACAGAAAACCUGGGGCUGCUGUGCAGCCAGAACUGCAGGCCAGCUGCUUUGGAGAACAACUGGGGCUGGCCUGAUGUUGGAAAAAACAGAGACGCUCCUUUGGGCUUGGCCCUACCCAAUCUGGACUGGAACUCAGGAGCCCCACCCUGGGUUCAGGCCAGAUCCCAUCACCCAGCAUGUCCCGAUGCAUAUGGGCCCAAAGAGACAAAGGCCCUCCCUGUGGUUGGCAGCCCACCAGUGUUCCCUGAAUGAGAUGGGCCUUCCUGCUGUAUAUCAUCUGGAAAAGAGGACUUAGGCUGGCAUUCAUCUAGGCAAAGGGCCUCUGGCCCCCCUCUCUGGGGCUUGUCACAGAGUUUGGAGAAAGGGCCUCUUUCUCAGAUUAUCACCACCACCUCCAUCCUCCCCAGUCUAGGAGCUCAACACAGUCACUGUUAGAGGUAACCAUUGGUUGUGUUAUGCAUUGUACUUCCUUUCUAUUAUUCCAGAAACUUCCAUAAAGUCUUGUUAAAUAUUGCAGUAAACAACACAGCUGAGAAUGGAGGAGUGGAAUCUUGGUACUGCUGACUGGGAAGUAGGAAAAUGGAUGCUGGGAAGCUGCAAACAGAUGCUCACAAUACAGGCCACCUGCUCCCUGGCCAAGGUUGACAGUUCUGUGGAAGAAAACUGGAGCCAAGAACCUGGGGUGGGGGUGGGGUGUGGGGAGUGGGGAAUGGGUAGUGGGAAUAUGAAGUCCUUGUGUAAUAAUAGGAAUCUGGGAUUCUGUGAAGACCAGAAUAGUGUGAAAAAUUAAGGAGUGGAUGGCCUGAGGGAGGAAGGUGUUUUGUAUUACAGGACUCUGUCUUCCACCCUAAUAUUUUCAUCAACAACUUAAAUAUUGACCCAGAAGGCACAUAAAGCAAUAAGGAAUAAAGGGUACUUGCUGACAGAAUUAGGAUACAAAAAGAUUCCGAGAAAAGGGAUAUUAGGACCAAAAAGAGCUCCAACAUAAGAGUGUCUGGUAAUGCUGAGGAAUAACAGUUGAGUAGAGUGAGCAGAAAGCUGGACUUGUUGUUGUGGUUUCUCUGUUCAAUGGGACUCUUUUCCUUUCCACUGUUUGUAAUUCAAACCCAAGCCGAAAGAUAAUGGGCUGGCCCACAUAACUAGAAAGUGUAGGUGUGUUACCUUCUGGCAUAGCUAGAUCCAGUGAUCAAACGAUGUUGUUAGUCUCUGAUUCUCAUGUCUGUACUACUUGUCUCUGAUUGGUUUUAUUCUUCCUUACGGUUCUCUCCUAUACCAAGAUGAUUGCCAGCAAUCCAAGACUUAACACCCACCUGCCUUAGCAACCUUAGAAAGAAAUGCCUGUAUCCCAACAUCCAUAUGAAAACCCUAGGAAAGACUAAUUGGUCCUGCUAGGAUCGUCUGCCCACCCUCUGGACCAAUCACUGUCUAGGGAAUAUGGUGCCAUAUUGGCUCCACCUAGACCAUUUUGCAAAGUAAAGGAAACAAGUUGAUUGACCACCACAGCAGAAAUGGAAUGUGGAGAGGUUGGUUUCCUCAGGCAACAGGUGGUGGCUGACAAGAGCAACAUGCCCAUCAUGGUUUCUGCUUCUGACUUACCAACACUAGGCUGGUACCAUUUGUCUGGUCUCUGCUGUAUUCCAGGGCCCAGCACUGUGGACUCUUGAUAAAUGUUUAUUGAAUGAUGAGUGAACUUCCUUCUCUGUGAACCUUAGUUCUCUUCUUCUGUUGAAUGGGAAUAAUAUUCUGUAUACUUAUUUCACAUGGUUGGAAUGUGGCUCAGGAAGACUAUGGAGUGGAUGGGUUUGGAAACACGUGUUCAGUCUUCCAAAUAUCACUGAUGGUGGUGAACCAGCCAGUGCCAUCAUGUGAUGCUGGCCAGGGCAACCCUGGGGAAAGACAGGAGUUAUUCUGUUGUUCUAUGAUCCCCUUGCCUCUUGCCCCCACCUCAGGAGAGCCUAACCCUUCUGAGUGGGAGGCUCAACCUCUCACCAUAUGCAUUUCCUCCAUCAUACUUGGGUUUUGUCUACCCAGAGAACACAGGUUCUGUAACGGAGUUUCCUUCCUAUUGCCCAUCUUGGUUGAAAAAUGGAGGAAGUGGUGCUGAGGAACAUUCCAGACCCAUUCUUUCUUCCUCCUUGGAGAUUUCCUCCAUAGCACUGAUUUAGCAAACUUCAUCCAUUGCCUGUUAAUUGCUAGGUGGGAGCAAAGUGUGAAUAUAGACCCCUUCCAAAUAGACCCCUCCCAUGCUCUUGGGAGGGCUACCUUAAUAUGAGACAAUGUUACUUGUUCCUAAAUUAAUCUGUAACUAUAAGCCCAAUAAAAACUCCAGCUAUAAAAACUUACUCUGAAAUGUGUGAGGAGGAAUAAAGGUCUAUGGAUGCCUAAGUAAAAGGAGGGUGGGCAGGAAUCUCCCUCUCCCAAAUAUUCAGGCAUACUACAAUGACAUUGUUUUAAAACAAACAAAAAAUCAGUAUGGUGUUAGUGAAAGAAUAGACAAUCCAUUGGGACAGCAUGAGUUCAGAGAUGGAUCUCUAGUUCUAGGGAAGUUUAAUACAAUAUAAGGUGCAUCAAAGUCAGCCGUUCUUACUGGGAAAACUCUACCUCACUUUAUAAAGAAAAACAAUGUUAUCCCGUACAAGGUGGGUGAUCAGAUGGUGGGUUAAAGAGUCCAUGUGAAUGGCAAAAUUGUAACAUUGAUAGAAAAAAAGACACAUGAGGGGAACAUCUUUGAGACUCAAGGUGAGGAAAAGAUUUAUUAGACAAAAUUUUGAAGCACAGUCCAUAAUGCAAAAAAAAAAAAAAAAAAAAGAGAGAGAGAGGAGACUUCACCAUGUCAAAAUGAAAGAUAUCUGUUCCAAAUGACACUUGACAAAAUGAGAGAAUAUGUGCAAAGUCAAAAUUGACAAGAUUAGUACAGCCUCAGUAUACAAGGAACUCCUGCAAAUUAGCAAGAAAAAUAAAUGAACGAUGGAUAUGAGCACAGACUUUUUCAAAGAGGAAACCCCCCAAAAAGCCAAGAAAUAUAUGAAGAUAUAGCCAAAAUCAUUAGUAUAGAAAUGCAGGUUGUAAUAAGAUAUCCAAACAGACUUCUCUCCAGAGAAGACCUACAAAUGGCCAAUAAGCACAUGAAAAGAUGUUCAACAUUGCUAAUCAUUAGGGAGAUGCAAAUCAAAACUAUAAUGAGCUACCACCUUGUACCCAUUAGGAUGGCUACUAGGAAAACAGAAAACAAGUGUUGGUAAGGAUGUGGACCAUGAAAUCCAUGUGCCACUGUUGGUGGGAGCGUCAAAUGGUACAGCCACUAAGAAAACUAUAUGGCAGUUCCUCAAGAAGUCAAGAAUAGAACUACCAUGUGAUCCAGCAUUUCUAAUCCUGGAUGCAGACCCCAAAGAAUUGAAGGCAGAAUCUCAAAGAGAUAUUUGCACACCCAUGUUCAUAGCAGCAUUAUUCACAAUAGCCCCAAAAUGGCAGGAACCCAUGUCCAUGACAGGUGAAUGAAUAAACAAAAUAUGUCACAUGUGUACAAUGGAAUAGUAUUCAGCUUUAAAAAGCAAGGGGAGGGACGCCUGGGUGGCCCAGUGGUUGAGCAUCUGCCUUUGGCUCAGGGCGUGAUCCCAGAGUCCCAGGAUCGAGUCCCACAUCGGGCUCCCCGCAGGGAACCUGCUUCUCCCUCUGCCUAUGUCUCUCCUUCUCUCUCUGUGUCUCUCAUGGAUAAAUAAAAUCUUUUAAAAAAUAAAUAAAAUAAAAUAAAAUAAAAUAAAAUAAAAUAAAAUAAAAUAAAAA